CGAACCGUGCGAACGUUGUUCGGAAUCACUGGGCAUAAAGGGCGCGUAGGCGGCUCCCCAAGUCAGGGGUGAAAUCCGGCAGCUUAACUGUCGAAGUGCCUUUGAUACUGGGGAGCUCGAGGGAGGUAGGGGUGUGUGGAACUUCCGGUGGAGCGGUGAAAUGCGUUGAUAUCGGAAGGAACGCCGGUGGCGAAAGCGACGCACUGGACCUCUUCUGACGCUGAGGCGCGAAAGCCAGGGGAGCAAACGGGAUUAGAUACCCCGGUAGUCCUGGCCCUAAACGAUGGGUACUAGAUAGUGGACUUACAUGGGUUCACUGUCGAAGCAAAUGUGUUAAGUACCCCGCCUGGGGAGUAUGGUCGCAAGGCUG
rnacentral:rRNA from 1 species